GGGUUGGCGGCGGCGCGCUUGCUGGCCUCGCACGGCGCGCGCGUUGUGUACUAUGCUGAGGCGGCACCUUGCGAAGCGCUGCAGCGCGAGGAGGCGGCGCUGGCGUUGAGCGGCGUGACACGCGCUGCCGACGCGCAUGCGUUGCCCAGUCCUGACCUCGUGCUGCUUGCGCUUUACGAUCCGCUGCUGGAUGACCAGCAAGAUCGUCAUGAAGAGGUGUUAAGAUGGGCGGGUGGUGUGCGCGGCGCCAUCAUAGCCUUGGAGCCGCCGACGCGCGGCUGGUACGUGUCGGGCGGCGGCGGCGAGGCGGAGCUGGCGGUGCGCGCGUCGGUGGCGGCUGCGCGCCGGCCGCACUGGCGCCGUCGCUGGGACGCGUGUACCUGGCGGACGUGGCGCCGCCGCUGCGCCUAUUCGCCGACCUGCGACUGCAGUACCGCCCGCCCUUUGGAGCCGCUUCAGUGCUAGCGCUGCAUCCCGCCGACGAUUGACCUUAAACACUGUGAGUGCGUGGGCGCACCUGCUCACAGUGAAUGCGGGACGUGGGACGGAGUGGGUGUGCUGUGACGCGCUAGGCGCGCCGCAGACGCACCUCACUGACUCAAGACUGUAUAUAACUUCCGUUUAGCCAUGCUUUUUAUUAGCCGGUUACAAAUUGAACAUGAAAUGUAUAUUUUGUGACAUUAAGUUAUCAAGUGCAUUUUACAAUACAAUAUUCCAAGUUGA